rnacentral:SRP_RNA from 1 species
GCUGGCUAUAGGUACAUGCCUAUAAUUCCAGCUACCAGGGAGGCUGAGGCUAAUAGGUCUCUUGAGCCUGAGAGUUCGGAGCUGCAGCGUUAUGCAGAUGGUUUGUCUCAACUAAGUUCAACAUCAGUAGGGUGGGACCCUUGGAGCAUGAGGCUACCAGAAUGUCUAAGGAAAGGUGAACCAGCCUAGGAUGGAAAUGGAGCAGGUCAAAAUUCUUAUGCCAGUCAGUAGUGGCACUGGGCCUGAGACUAGCCCCUGUACUUCCAGUCUAGGUGAGACAAGGAGAUUCAGUCUU